UGGUCCUGAGCCACUGCAUCUGGCCUAACUGCUUUUAACCACCUUUAUUUUUCAAGAAUUUUUGGCUUGACACAUCCAGAGCCCAAACAGAAGAGGUCUUCAGAUUUGACCCACGCAUUUCUUGCCAGAAGAAUUUAUAUAUGAAGGCGUUGUGCAAGUUAUUAAUGUUAAAAGGAAUUUCCUCCUCCAGUAAAAAAUCUGAAAUAAAAUUAAUAUUGGCACAAUCUGAGACUAAGAAGAGACACUGGCCAUCCAGGAGUUUCCAUAGGCCACGCUCCAAUGUGAGCUUUCACCACUAGAGGGCGUGAUCUGAAUUGUGCACUCAGCGUUUCUUCCAAGAGUAAUCGUUCCCAACAAGGAAAGACCGUUUUACAGCCCUCAGUACCGCAGUUCCAUGAACUUGCUCAGCUUGGCAGCCGCAGCUAAGGACACCCGUGGUAGUAAAAGCGGGAAGAUGGGCUCCCUGGCUCUUCUUACCAAACUCUGAUUGUUUGGAGCAGUUUGACCAUCAUUUAGCCAGGAAGACACCAGAAGGAUGGCGUGCUGGCCACCAUUGCAUUGCCAGCACAUGAGAGUAGGUGUGUGAAAUGUACACCCUGGGUACACAGAAUUGCCUGCAGACAAAUAUUUAUUGACAGUUAAGAAAAUGCAUUAAGAAUGAGCAUGAGUUCCUGUCCUUAAGAGAGUGCUAGAAGGGAGACUGCUGUCCCCACAAUGGCUGCAGCCCCAUUCCUUUUUCCAAGCUGCCUGGGUGAACAUUCCAGGAUCCUGACAUUCUGUGGAAAUUGAUGAGUGCUUGCUCAAAGGUCGAUGAUGUGCUACAGAUGGCAUCACCUGUUAGAGACAGAGCUUUCUCAAGAGGAGCUUUGAUUUCCUUUACUUCCCGAACUGCUAUUUCACAGUCUCUCAGUAGAUGUCAGCAGCACAGCAAACAUCUCACUGCCCAUCAUGGAAGCAGGUACCAGGGCUAUAUCCACAUUGAAAUGUUGGAUGCUCCGAAGAAAUGCCACAUGUGUCUGGGCCUCUGAUACUUAGCACACGCUCUGUACACUUGGAACAUCUUACACCAUUUUCUACCUAUUGGAAUUGUAUUUACCCUUUAAAACUCAGUAAAUGCUGUCUCCUACAUGAAGCCCUCCAGAAUGCCCUAGGUGCAGCUAAUCACUCAUUGCAUUUUAUAUCGUCUUAUGAACAUACGCUGUAACAAUGGGACUAAUGUUUCUGUAUUUCUUACCAAUCUGUGAGCCCCUUGAGUCUAUAACCAUAUUUUUUUAUCUUUGUACCUCAAUUAUCUGGCCCACAGAAGACAUACUGUUAUUGAUUGAAUCAUUAAAACAAAAUAUCUAGAA
rnacentral:lncRNA from 1 species